rnacentral:lncRNA from 1 species
GUGAUCAACAAGGGCCACGGAGAGUCCACGCUUGCCAUCAGGCCCGAUAAUACCUCUCUCACUGGCAAAGGGGGCUACACAAAUCUGAAAGAUAUUGUGGUCGGUAAGAAGUCCGCCCAAGAAGCAGUGGCGACCCUAGCCAAGUACAAGAAGGAUGGUUCCGUCCCGGAGGAGGAGAUCAAGAAAGCAUUGACCACAUUCAUCCUCAUUAUCUGUGAGGCUGUACGCUUGGUCCCUGUUCGUACGGACGUCAUUACAGUAUGGGAUGAAGCGGAGGGAGGCAAAGUUGGCAAGGUUGCCUGUGAUCUCACCGUCAAAUGGAAAGUCAUCUCUUGCGCGUAA